rnacentral:lncRNA from 1 species
AGCUUACGGCGCGCCCCCGAGGGCCAGGGCUUCCCCUUCCCCGCCCCCUUGGCUUUCGCAGUCAAAUCCCGCUCUCCGCCCGCCGCCCGCGGAAGUCUCACCGCGCAGCAGCACCCCCAGCCCGGGCGGUUCUGGGGACCGAAGGGCGCGGCGCGUAGGGGGCCCGUAGGAUCCAAACUGCGGAGGAGGAGCAGGAGGAGGGAGGAGGAAGAAGACAAAGGAGCAGCUUCUAGUUGCAGCUCAAGACCCGCGAGUUCACCCUCCGCGCCAAGCACCCAACUCCCGGCUCUGCCUACAGUCACCCACAGACCUAAUGAUCGACUAAGCGCCGUAAUGGCCCGAGAUGACACCAGGAGACUCCCUUGCUGUGCGCCUCCGGAAGACGCGGAACGUAGCCCCUUUCUCACACUCCUGGGACACAAAAAUACCCGACAACUCAAAGUCGCCAAACCACAUCUUUUCAUGCUUUGAAGACUUCUGCCCAAGGCUGUGGCAGGAGUAUGUCCAACUGUGAUUUGGGAUUCUUUUUAAACAUCGAAUCAAAGAGAAGAGGGGAGGGAUUCGCAACUAAAUGGUAGUUGUUUUCAAGCAAGUCUUUACGUAGCCCCAAACCUACUCUAGUAUUCGGUGAUUCAGCCCCAAAACAUCUCUGCCUGCCUUUAUGUUCGGAUCUCACUCCAUUAUUUGUCAGCACCAAGUCCUAAACCCACAAAGCGAUCGCUGUACGGGACACCAAACCCAUACCUGCCCGUCCCCUACCUUCCAGGCAACCAGUGUCAAUCUCCUCACUAUACAUAGUUCCCAACAUCCCUGCCCGAAGUGAGGAGAACGGUAAUUUAAAUAAUACAGCGGGGGAGGAGAGGACACACUGUUUUUGAAGGACUGUAAGCAUUCUGCUCUGUUCCACUCUGCGUCCUUACACUUGCUUAGCACUGACACCAAAUUUAAAUGGCGUUCCUUCAAAACUGAUGUAAUUGUAAAGAGCUGUAAAGGGCAAUGACCUCAAGUGGAUGUUUUUUCCCAGGUACCCUACAAGGUUUGCACAAAGCAAGAAAGCAUCAUGUAGCCGAAAUGCUGAAAAGUAUAGAUGCUGCAAAACCUCAUUCUGAGACUGAGAACUAUGAAUAGUCAGUGUAUUUCCUUCUGCGGUGCAGAAAAAGAACAACCAAAAAGAAAGCAACAAGGGGAGAUGCUAUUUAUUUUAAUGACACCAAAACUACCAAUCCUAGCAAUUUAAUAAAUUAAAAUCAUAGUCCUUUAAAUGU